GRRRMGGUYKWKCSGGAYUAGWUGGGCGUAAGCGAGCGCAGGCGGUUUUUUAAGUCUGAUGUGAAAGCCUUCGGCUCAACCGAAGAAGUGCAUCGGAAACUGGGAAACUUGAGUGCAGAAGAGGACAGUGGAACUCCAUGUGUAGCGGUGAAAUGCGUAGAUAUAUGGAAGAACACCAGUGGCGAAGGCGGCUGUCUGGUCUGUAACUGACGCUGAGGCUCGAAAGUAUGGGUAGCAAACAGGAUUAGAUACCCUGGUAGUCCAUACCGUAAACGAUGAAUGCUAAGUGUUGGAGGGUUUCCGCCCUUCAGUGCUGCAGCUAACGCAUUAAGCAUUCCGCCUGGGGAGUACGGCCGCAAGGCUGAAACUCAAAGGAAUUGACGGGGGCCCGCACAAGCGGUGGAGCAUGUGGUUUAAUUCGAAGSUACGCGAAGAACCUUACCAGGUCUUGACAUACUAUGYAAAUCUAAGAGAUUAGACGUUCCCUUCGGGGACAUGGAUACAGGUGGUGCAUGGUUGUCGUCAGCUCGUGUCGUGAGAUGUUGGGUUAAGUCCCGCAACGAGCGCAACCCUUAUUAUSAGUUGCCAGCAUUAAGUUGGGCACUCUGGUGAGACUGCCGGUGACAACCGGAKGAAGGUGGGGAUGACGUCAAAUCAUCAUGCCCCUUAUGACCUGGGCURCACACGUGCURCAAUGGAUGGUACAACGAGUUGCGAACUCGCGAGAGUAAKCUAAUCUCKUAAAGCCAGUCUCAGUUCGAUUGUAGCWGCACUCCGCUACUGAAGUCGGAUCRCUAGUAAUCGCGAUCRGCAUGCCGSGGUGAUCGUCYYCUCSGGGGCUCUAAAA
rnacentral:rRNA from 1 species